GCUCUUCCCAUCUGUUGUUAAACAACAUGCUAAAUGUGAAAUGUCAAUCCUCACUCUAAACUUUCCCUGUUCAGAGCAUCAAAUGAAGAAUUCAUUGGGUUUUAUAGCGGCUUUCUGAUUUUGGUAGUCCAUUGAAGAAGGGAGUUUGAAAGUUGUUGUAUACUGAUAACGAUUGUCUGCCCAUGUCCUGCCUGAAAUAGCAUGAUUGUUUAUGAAGGGUAUCUUUAAUAAAGCUGGAUACAGUUUGGCUUGGGAAAAAAAAAAAAAGCUAAAGGUUAAAAGCAACAUUUA